ensembl:snRNA U6 U6 spliceosomal RNA
GGGAGCACAUCUACUCAAAUUUAAAAUUGGAAUGAUAAAGAGAAAGAUUAGUAUGGUUCAUGUGUAAGGCUGGCUCAAAAAUUCAUGAAAUCUUCCAGAUUGUU